GACGAACGCUGGCGGCGUGCUUAACACAUGCAAGUCGAACGGAAAGGCCCUGCUUUUGUGGGGUGCUCGAGUGGCGAACGGGUGAGUAACACGAGAGUAACCUGCCCUUGACUUUGGGAUAACUUCAGGAAACUGGGGCUAAUACCGGAUAGGAGCUCCUGCUGCAUGGUGGGGGUUGGAAAGUUUCGGCGGUUGGGGCUGGACUCGCGGCUUAUCAGCUUGUUGGUGGGGUAGUGGCUUACCAAGGCUUUGACGGGUAGCCGGCCUGGGAGGGUGACCGGCCACAUUGGGACUGAGAUACGGCCCAGACUCCUACGGGAGGCAGCAGUGGGGAAUAUUGCACAAUGGGCGGAAGCCUGAUGCAGCAACGCCGCGUGCGGGAUGACGGCCUUCGGGUUGUAAACCGCUUUCGCCUGUGACGAAGCGUGAGUGACGGUAAUGGGUAAAGAAGCACCGGCUAACUACGUG
rnacentral:rRNA from 1 species